ensembl:lncRNA
GACAGUUUAAACCCUGGAGUAGACAUGUUGCAUAUGAUUCUAUUAUAAACUGAUUAAACUUUCAGCCCUGACACAGAGACUUACUACCCAUACAGAAAUGAUACAAUGCAAAGUAAUCAUGAUCUAACUGUGGAAACGUUACAUUGCAGCUGCUGUGUUUCAGACGUUAAAAGGUCAGAGGUGACUUUCUGAAAUGAGGAACGCAGCCAAUUUCUUCAUGGGAAUUGCUGGUCUGCUGAGACGGCUCAGCUUCUUCACUGAGAGAAAAACUCCCAUAAUCUCCGUUCAGAGGCAGAUAGUGGAGGGGGACAUUUUUCAGGCCAACUGCAGCAUUAACUACUCCUGUCCUUCCUCACCUCCAUCCAUCCACUGGAAGAAAAGCUCAUCUCUGGAAAGCUCCACUUUCACCAGGGAAGUGCAAGGCCAGUGGUUAUAUAGAGAAACAAUGCACGGACUGGCAACAAAUGAAAUCCAUAACGGCAAACUGAGUUUUUCUGCACAGUUCAGAACCUUCACCACACAAAGUCAAGAAAUUACACUCAACAUUUUAUGUACGUGAAACGGUUUGUGUGCUGGAAAUACAAUAAAAAACAGACACACAUUAACAUAUCUUGUAUAUUACUGGUAACUGUCUUAUUGCAGUGAUUUCUUAUAUUUACAGAUAAACCUGUUGCUGUAAGUCUGAAACUGGAAAACAAACCAGUGACAGAGGGUGGCAGCUCUGGUUAACUCCAAAGCUCAGCACAAGCAGCUGGUGGAGGAUCUCUGUCGCUCCUCCUUCACCCCAGCAGGUGGAGGCAUUUGGCCGCCCUCCCUGAGCCUGGUUCUGCUGGAGGUUUGUUCCUUCUUCCCUGGU